rnacentral:rRNA from 1 species
GGGGAUACCGGUGUAAGAUGGGGCUCGCGUCUGAUUAGCUAGUUGGUGGGUAAAGGCCUACCAAGGCGACGAUCAGUAGCCGGUCUGAGAGGAUGAACGGCCACAUUGGAACUGAGACACGGUCCAAACUCCUACGGGAGGCAGCAGUGGGGAAUAUUGCACAAUGGGGGAAACCCUGAUGCAGCGACGCCGCGUGAGCGAAGAAGGCUUUCGAGUCGUAAAGCUCUGUCCUAUGAGAAGAUAAUGACGGUAUCAUAGGAGGAAGCCCUGGCUAAAUACGUGCCAGCAGCCGCGGUAAAU